rnacentral:rRNA from 1 species
GACGAACGCUGGCGGCGUGCUUAACACAUGCAAGUCGAACGGAAAGGCCCUGCUUGCAGGGUACUCGAGUGGCGAACGGGUGAGUAACACGUGGGUGAUCUGCCCUGCACUUCGGGAUAAGCCUGGGAAACUGGGUCUAAUACCGGAUAGGAGCCAUUUUUAGUGUGAUGGUUGGAAAGUUUUUUCGGGGUAGGAUGAGCUCGCGGCCUAUCAGCUUGUUGGUGGGGUAAUGGCCUACCAAGGCGGCGACGGGUAGCCGGCCUGUGAGGGUGGACGGCCACACUGGGACUGAGAGACGGCCCAGACUCCGACGGGAGGCAGAAGGGGGGAAGAUUGCACAAGGGGCGCCAGCCUGAUGCAGCGACGCCGCGUGGGGGAUGACGGCCUUCGGGUUGUAAACUCCUUGCGCUAGGGACGAAGCUUUUUGUGACGGUACCUAGAUAAGAAGCACCGGCUAACUACGUG